rnacentral:piRNA from 1 species
UGUGAAGCUCAGAGACAAUGUCGUAAGGCUU